UACAGAGGUCCCAAGCGUUGUUCGGAUUCACUGGGCGUAAAGGGUGCGUAGGUGGUUGGGAAAGUUUGAUGUGAAAGCUCGGAGCUUAACUCCGAAAUGGCAUUGAAUACUUCUUAACUUGAGGGUCGGAGGGGAGACUGGAAUUCUCGGUGUAGCAGUGAAAUGCGUAGAUAUCGAGAGGAACACCUGUGGCGAAAGCGGCGCACUGGACCAUAACUGACGCUGAGGCGCGAAAGCUAGGGGAGCAAACAGG
rnacentral:rRNA from 1 species